rnacentral:lncRNA from 1 species
CUGGAAUGAGCAUAAAUUUAUGUAUUUGAAUGAUUGUUGCAUGCUCAAAAGGAACUUUAAACGUGUAGCUUUAUCACUGUGAUAGCUUCUGUUUCUCUUUCUUCAGAUGGACAUUUACCUCAAAGACUGACCCUAUGCACAUGAAAGGUCAUUCAGCUGUAAAGACAAGUGAGGAAGGAUAUCAGGUGAGCCUCACCGAUUCCACCUGAACUGACCAGGACAUUGUUAACACCCAAAGAACAGAAAUUCUGGUUCUGGAAUAAAGCGAAGUCUCAGAGUGACCUACUGCA